UACGUAGGGUCCGAGCGUUGUCCGGAGUUACUGGGCGUAAAGCGCGCGUAGGCGGCUUUGUAAGUUAGAGGUGAAAGCCUGGAGCUCAACUUCAGAAUUGCCUUUAAGACUGCAUCGCUUGAAUCCGGGAGAGGUGAGUGGAACUGCGAGUGUAGAGGUGAAAUUCGUAGAUAUUCGCAAGAACACCGGUGGCGAAGGCGGCGUCCUGGACCCAACACGUGACACUGAGGAGGCGAAAGC
rnacentral:rRNA from 1 species